ACCACCCUUUAAUGUUUGAUGUUCUAACGUUGACCCGUAAUCCGGGUUGCGGACAGUGUCUGGUGGGUAGUUUGACUGGGGCGGUCUCCUCCUAAAGAGUAACGGAGGAGCACGAAGGUUGGCUAAUCCUGGUCGGACAUCAGGAGGUUAGUGCAAUGGCAUAAGCCAGCUUGACUGCGAGCGUGACGGCGCGAGCAGGUGCGAAAGCAGGUCAUAGUGAUCCGGUGGUUCUGAAUGGAAGGGCCAUCGCUCAACGGAUAAAAGGUACUCCGGGGAUAACAGGCUGAUACCGCCCAAGAGUUCAUAUCGACGGCGGUGUUUGGCACCUCGAUGUCGGCUCAUCACAUCCUGGGGCUGAAGUAGGUCCCAAGGGUAUGGCUGUUCGCCAUUUAAAGUGGUACGCGAGCUGGGUUUAGAACGUCGUGAGACAGUUCGGUCCCUAUCUGCCGUGGGCGCUGGAGAACUGAGGGGGGCUGCUCCUAGUACGAGAGGACCGGAGUGGACGCAUCACUGGUGUUCGGGUUGUCAUGCCAAUGGCACUGCCCGGUAGCUAAAUGCGGAAGAGAUAAGUGCUGAAAGCAUCUAAGCACGAAACUUGCCCCGAGAUGAGUUCUCCCUGACCCUUUAAGGGUCCUGAAGGAACGUUGAAGACGACGACGUUGAUAGGCCGGGUGUGUAAGCGCAGCGAUGCGUUGAGCUAACCGGUACUAAUGAACCGUGAGGCUUAACCUUACAACGCCGAAGCUGUU
rnacentral:rRNA from 1 species